rnacentral:rRNA from 1 species
GUGAACCUACGGGGGGCAGCAGUGGGGAAUAUUGCACAAUGGGGGAAACCCUGAUGCAGCAACGCCGCGUGAGUGAAGAAGGUUUUCGGAUUGUAAAGCUCUGUUAGCAGGGAAGAGGAAGGACGGUACCUGCAGAGGAAGCCACGACUAACUACGUGCCAGCAGCCGCGGUAAUACGUAGGUGGCAAGCGUUGUUCGGAAUAACUGGGCGUAAAGGAUGCGUAGGCGGUUAAACAAGUUAUAUGUUAAAUAUAUAUGCUUAACUUGUAGACAGAAUAUAAAACUGUUUAAUUAGAGUGCAGGGG